GAGCCCAAUUUUAUUUUCAUCUACGUAUUGAAAAUCUCUAAAGGAAAUAUGACUUUAACAUGCAUUUUCCUUUACGAGACCUAUAUGUUAAUGCCCAUGACGAUGUUGAACGGAUUAAUGCAUUCAACUUAAGCGGCAUUUUUAACAAAUUGAAAAGUAGAUUUUAAUAAUAAUAAAACAUAUUUUUACAAAGUACAGUUGCCCUAAAUUUCUAUCAUAAACAAAAUCAAACCCUGGUUUUUUUUUAAUACCACUAUGAAUCUGUUUGUUUUUUCUUUUCUUCCUUUCUUUGUUCUGAAGAGGCGGCAGCUGGUUUUGAGCACAAAUAAGGGUUUUUUUUUUUCUUGUCUUACAGGCUAAAUCAUGAGUGAUAGAAGUUAGAGAUUAAUGGCGAGGUUGGAAAGGAGGCUAUCGCCAUAAGAGGGGCUGUAGGAUUAAGGAAAGAUGCACACAGGAAAUCUAGAGACAGUCAGGGUAGAUAUACAGCCUGCGACCUAAAGAUUGCAUCCCUUAGUGGAGAGAGGAUAGGGGGCAUGAGACCUAAGAAAUGGUGUUGCUACAGAAAUGACACUGAUUCCAAACUCAAGAUAUGAAGAAACCACAUCUAGAGGACUCUCUUGGAGCCACCAAGGAGAAACAGGUUAAACCUGACACCUUCCUUUGGGUGACCAAAGAGGGGUGAUAUAGACCCAAAAUCCUAUCUUGUUUAUUCAUUAUAUGAUUUCCUUAGAACAGGGUAGUGCGUAAAUGUACUGAAGUAAUAAUCAUCUAUUUUAUUUUGGGUUUCUAAAUAAAAGAAAAUCAUUCUUUCUAAAUGUAA